AACGAACGCUGGCGGCAUGCCUAACACAUGCAAGUCGAACGAGACCUCCGGGUCUUGUGUCGCACGGGUGUGUCACGCGUCGGAACCUUCCCUCAGGUUUGGCAUACCUCUCCGACUGGGGUGCUAAUACCGGAUCAUAUCUUCUACCCAAUGAUUUAUCGCCUUUGGUUGGGCCCGCGUUGGAUUAGCUUGUUGGUAGGGUAAUAGCCUACCACGGCGACGAUCCAUAGCUGGUUUGAGAGGAUGCUCAGCCACACUGGGACUGAGACACGGCCCAGACUCCUACGGGAGGCAGCAGUGGGGAAUAUUGGACAAUGGGCGAAAGCCUGAUCCAGCAAUGCCGCGUGAGUGAUGAAGGCCUUAGGGUUGUAAAGCUCUUUUACCCGGGAUGAUAAUGACAGUACCGGGAGAAUAAGCUCCGGCUAACUCCGUG
rnacentral:rRNA from 1 species